CUUUGGAACACUGAGAAGAGAAGUCUCAAGGGGCUUUGUGGUAUACAGAAGAGUGCAGUGAAAUGGCGAUCUCUCAUCACGGCCAGUGGGUGGUGGUAUUGACACGGAAACAAAAGUACAUCCACAGCAAUUUGCAACUUUGAAAAUAAAUCCAGUGUGUUUCUUCUGAACUCAUUGAGAUGCACAAGCUUGGUAAGAAGCAAGAAAAGUCUUUGGUUUCACUGCAUAUGCUAAAAGCACAGCUUGACUUUUCCCCAGCAUUUGUUAGUCACAUCCUGUCGUCCACUGUUUUUGUUAUUUGGUGCCGAAGAAUGUUAAUUUAUUUGAAGUGAAGAGCACUAAUGUUUCCACUUUUCUUUCCUUUUUCAUGAUAAAGCAUCACAAAUAAUAAAACACACCUUUCGAAGUUA